CCUCGGGGGGCAGCAGUGGGGAAUAUUGGACAAUGGGCGAAAGCCUGAUCCAGCCAUGCCGCGUGUGUGAAGAAGGCCUUCGGGUUGUAAAGCACUUUCAGUGGGGAAGAAAGCCUUGGGGCUAAUACCCUCGAGGAAGGACAUCACCCACAGAAGAAGCACCGGCUAACUCCGUGCCAGCAGCCGCGGUAAUACGGAGGGUGCGAGCGUUAAUCGGAAUUACUGGGCGUAAAGCGCGCGUAGGCGGUCUGAUAAGCCGGUUGUGAAAGCCCCGGGCUCAACCUGGGAACGGCAUCCGGAACUGUCAGGCUAGAGUGCAGGAGAGGAAGGUAGAAUUCCCGGUGUAGCGGUGAAAUGCGUAGAGAUCGGGAGGAAUACCAGUGGCGAAGGCGGCCUUCUGGACUGACACUGACGCUGAGGUGCGAAAGCGUGGGUAGCAAACAGGAUUAGAUACCCCAGUAGUC
rnacentral:rRNA from 1 species